UAAGACCCGAUACUAUCUGAUCUAUCUAAGCGCAGGUAUGAAUGUUUCAUGACUGAACCAGUGUCUGUUGCAAUAGACUUGGACGACGUUUAGAUAGGGGUGAAAGGCCAAUCAAAGUUAGAAGUAGCUGGCUUUCUGCGAAAUCUAUUUGGGUAAAGCGGAGAUAUAGAACCGUCAAGUGUAUUGAGAGAUAAGAUUGGCGGAUUGAAUACUCUAGUCAGACUGUUGGUGGGAAGGUCAAUAGUCAAAAUGUAAAGAGUCAUAAUGCUUUGCUAAGGCCCCUAAAG
rnacentral:rRNA from 1 species